rnacentral:rRNA from 2 species
CUAUAUAAUAGUUAAAACUUUCAACAACGGAUCUCUUGGUUCUGGCAUCGAUGAAGAACGCAGCGAAAUGCGAUAAGUAAUGUGAAUUGCAGAAUUCAGUGAAUCAUCGAAUCUUUGAACGCACAUUGCGCCCCCUGGUAUUCCGGGGGGCAU